UGGGGAAUAUUGCACAAUGGGCGAAAGCCUGAUGCAGCAACGCCGCGUGAGUGAUGAAGGUCUUCGGAUUGUAAAGCUCUGUCUUUUGGGACGAUAAUGACGGUACCAAAGGAGGAAGCCACGGCUAACUACGUGCCAGCAGCCGCGGUAAUACGUAGGUGGCGAGCGUUGUCCGGAUUUACUGGGCGUAAAGGGUGCGUAGGCGGAUGUUUAAGUGAGAUGUGAAAUACCCGGGCUUAACUUGGGUGCUGCAUUUCAAA
rnacentral:rRNA from 1 species